rnacentral:rRNA from 1 species
UACGGGGGGGGCAAGCGUUGUUCGGAAUUACUGGGCGUAAAGGGUGCGUAGGCGGUCUGUUAAGUUGGAUGUGAAAACUCUGGGCUCAACCCAGAGCCUGCAUCCAAAACUGGUCGGCUAGAGUGCGGGAGAGGAGAGUGGAAUUCCUGGUGUAGCGGUGAAAUGCGCAGAUAUCAGGAAGAACACCCGUGGCGAAGGCGGCUCUCUGGAACGCAACUGACGCUGAGACGCGAAAGCGUGGGGAGCAAACAGG